GCGGGAGACGAAAGCGGAAGCCUGGAGUCCGAGGACAAGGAGGAUCCUCCAGGUCGGAGGAGCGGAAAGUCCUAGCACAGGAGGACUGUGGCGAGCCCUGCAUCCGAGGGACCUUGGUGGCAGUGAUCCUCCAGUGAUCUGUCAAUCCAGGUUUUACAUCGCUAAACGCAGAGCUUGGGCUUUGUUGCCAAGUGGUGUUUUGAUUCUUGCCCACUCCUCAC
rnacentral:lncRNA from 1 species